GGAUUGUGGCUCAGCGGUAGAGCGCUCCCCUAACAUGGGUGGGAUCCCAGUUUGAUCCUCAGCACCA
rnacentral:tRNA from 1 species